rnacentral:tRNA from 1 species
GGAUCAAUAGCUCAGUGGUAGAGCGAGAGAUUGCAGAUCUCUAGGUCGCGUGUUCGAUCCACGCUUGGUCCU